UUUCCCAGUCACGACUCCGUAGGUGAACCUGCGGAGGGAUCAUUACAAGUGACCCCGGCUACGGCCGGGAUGUUCAUAACCCUUUGUUGUCCGACUCUGUUGCCUCCGGGGCGACCCUGCCUUCGGGCGGGGGCUCCGGGUGGACACUUCAAACUCUUGCGUAACUUUGCAGUCUGAGUAAACUUAAUUAAUAAAUUAAAACUUUUAACAACGGAUCUCUUGGUUCUGGCAUCGAUGAAGAACGCAGCGAAAUGCGAUAAGUAAUGUGAAUUGCAGAAUUCAGUGAAUCAUCGAAUCUUUGAACGCACAUUGCGCCCCCUGGUAUUCCGGGGGGCAUGCCUGUUCGAGCGUCAUUUCACCACUCAAGCCUCGCUUGGUAUUGGGCAACGCGGUCCGCCGCGUGCCUCAAAUCGUCCGGCUGGGUCUUCUGUCCCCUAAGCGUUGUGGAAACUAUUCGCUAAAGGGUGUUCGGGAGGCUACGCCGUAAAACAACCCCAUUUCUAAGGUUGACCUCGGAUCAGGUAGGGAUACCCGCUGAACUUAAGCAUAUCAAUAAGCGGAGGACCUGUGUGAAAUUUUUAUUUCCGCUCAAU
rnacentral:rRNA from 1 species